UGGGGAAUAUUGCACAAUGGAGGGAACUCUGAUGCAGCGACGCCGCGUGAGUGAAGAAGGUCUUCGGAUCGUAAAACUCUGUCCUUGGUGAAGAAAAGGACGGUAGCCAAGGAGGAAGCCCCGGCUAACUACGUGCCAGCAGCCGCGGUAAUACGUAGGGGGCGAGCGUUGUCCGGAUUUACUGGGCGUAAAGGGUGAGUAGGCGGUUAUAUAUGUCAGGUGUAAAAGAUCAUGGCUCAACCAUGGUUGGCACUUGAAACUGUAUGACUUGAGUGCAGGAGAGGUAAGCGGAAUUCCUAGUGUAGCGGUGAAAUGCGUAGAUAUUAGGAGGAACACCAGUGGCGAAGGCGGCUUACUGGACUGUAACUGACGCUGAGACACGAAAGCGUGGGUAGCAAACAGG
rnacentral:rRNA from 1 species